GUGAGACACAAGCAUCUCAGGAAAUAACCUUAAUUGGCUGACAGGUGUGGUCACUAAGCUGAUGAUGAUGCCAGCUGUUAACAAUUUCUGAGACAAUAGAUACCAGUCUUAGUUCAACGCAGCUCUAACAUAGUCACAGAGCUUUCAGGCUUAGUUGGGUCGCAUUUCUGCUACUCAGAACGUGGCCUGAGCUCACAUCUGCAUUCUACUGAAGAGCUCUUUAUCCUCAGACCACAUUAUGUCCUAAAUAUGCACAUACAUGUUUGCCCUUGUGAAAACAGACACUAUUUCUUCCAUGUGCUUAAGAUCUUUUUUAUUGUUCUUCCUUUCCUCUUUGGGACGGCAUAAUUUGUCUUUUUGAGUUUUUGAAUAACUGUCCUGGAGAUGACUCAGAAUUCAGUCCUUCCCCAGCUUGCAUGAUUACAGACCUAAAGUAGCUCACUCAUUUGACCUGGUGUGUCUGGUCUCCUGGGUUCAUGUGGUUGUUCCGUGGGUGACUUGUAGCAACCUUUUCAGGACACCCUUUCUAGAGUGAAGUGUGUACUUUGUUGCCUGACUAGUGACUUGUGUUUCUUUGUUUCUCUCCUCUCUGCUUCUCUGGCAAAAGGCUUUUGCCUUUCCUAUUGCCAUCUUCAGUGUUGGUGUGUCAGCUGCCUCCAGGAAUACCUCCAUACCUGAAAUGGUUCCCUCAAAUCUGUUCUGUUGCAGGAGCUGGCUGCAGAUAGGUCUCCAGAGGCAUAACACCACCUUAUUUCAGCUGAAAAGUUCACCCGGGCUCUGCAGAGAAUGAUGUUUGCUCCAAUUAUACGGAACAGGUUUUAUAAAGUAAAAGAAGAGCUGAAUGGCAGUGACCAUCUUUAGUCCAUGUGAAGCACAACCUUUGGAGUGAACUUAGGUGGCAGUCGCUGGAGAGACGACGGGGGAGCUGCUGAGGCGGAGCCCCCUGCGGCGCGGGGCGAGAAGGCGGUGAGGCGGACAGCGCGCGAGGGGCGCGGCCAUCUUGGCGGCGCGGGGAGGGCGGUGGCGCUGCGCGCGCAGCGGGGCGCCCGGCGGGCGGCGGCCUGCCCUCCGAGACACCCGAGCUGGAUUUCAAGGGUGAAUUGUAUAAUAAUAGAAUCAUAGAAUGGUUAGAGUUGGAAGGGACCUUAAAGAUCA
rnacentral:lncRNA from 1 species